rnacentral:rRNA from 1 species
CAAGUCGAGCGCGAAUAGGGGGGCAACUCCCUUAGUAGAGCGGCGAACGGGUGAGUAACGCGUGGGUAAUCUACCUUCGAGUGGGGAAUAACAGCGGGAAACUGCUGCUAAUACCGCAUGACAUCGUCGGGUCGCAAGGCCUGAUGAUCAAAGCCGGGGACCGCAAGGCCUGGCGCUUGAAGAGGAGCCCGCGUCCGAUUAGCUAGUUGGCGGGGUAAUGGCCCACCAAGGCGACGAUCGGUAGCCGGCCUGAGAGGGCGGACGGCCACACUGGGACUGAGACACGGCCCAGACUCCUACGGGAGGCAGCAGUGGGGAAUUUUUCGCAAUGGGGGAAACCCUGACGAAGCAACGCCGCGUGGAGGAUGAAGGCCUUCGGGUCGUAAACUCCUGUCGACCGGGACGAACGUAGCUGGGUCCAAUACACCCGGCUAUCGACUGUACCGGUGGAGGAAGCCACGGCUAACUCUGUGCCAGCAGCCGCGGUAAUACAGAGGUGGCAAGCGUUGUUCGGAAUUACUGGGCGUAAAGGGCGCGUAGGCGGUUCGUUAAGUCCUGUGUGAAAUCCCCCGGCUCAACUGGGGAACUGCACAGGAAACUAGCGGGCUUGAGUUCGGGAGAGGGAAGCGGAAUUCCGGGUGUAGCGGUGAAAUGCGUAGAUAUCCGGAGGAACACCGGUGGCGAAGGCGGCUUCCUGGACCGACACUGACGCUGAGGCGCGAAAGCUAGGGGAGCAAACGGGAUUAGAUACCCCGGUAGUCCUAGCUGUAAACGAUGAGUGCUGGGUGUAGGGGGUAUUAACCCCCCCUGUGCCGAAGCUAACGCAGUAGGCACUCCGCCUGGGGAGUACUGUCGCAAGGCUGAAACUCAAAGAAUUUGACGGGGGCCC